CCUACGGGAGGCUGCAGUGGGGAAUUUUGCGCAAUGGGCGAAAGCCUGACGCAGCCAUGCCGCGUGAAUGAUGAAGGUCUUAGGAUUGUAAAAUUCUUUCACCGGGGACGAUAAUGACGGUACCCGUAGAAGAAGCCCCGGCUAACUUCGUCCCAGCAGCCGCGGUAAUACGAAGGGGGCUAGCGUUGCUCGGAAUUACUGGGCGUAAGGGGAGCGUAGGCGGACUGUGAAGUUAGAGGUGAAAGCACAGGGCACAACCUUGCAAAUGCCUGUGACACUCGCAGUGUUGAGUACAGAAGUGGUAGGUGGAACUCCGAGUGUAGAGGUGAAAUUAGUAGAUAUUCGGAAGAACACCAGUGGCGAAGGCGCCAUACUGGUCCGUUACUGACGCUGAGGCUCGAAGGCGUGGGGAGCAAACAGGAUUAGUUACCCUGGUAGUC
rnacentral:rRNA from 1 species